CCAGCGGCGGCGGCAGCUUCGGGAUGAGUAGCUCAGUUGACGAAACCUACUGGAAGAUGUUAAUAUGCUCCGCAGCUCGCUGGAAGUUAAUUUCUGCAACUGAUUGGCACAGGCAGUCAAUGGACCAUCCAAUCAAGUUCAUUACAAGAAGGCAACUGUACGCACUCAAGUUCAAGAUUAAAACAGGCAAACUGUUUUGACUACAUUGGACAUUUAACUCGGUAA